rnacentral:rRNA from 1 species
CUAAGAAUAUUCCGCAAUGGGGGAAACCCGUGACGGAGCGACGCCGCGUGGACGAUGAAGGCCGGAAGGUUGUAAAGUCCUUUUAUUGACAGAGGAAUAAGCGUGGGAGUGGAAAGCCCAUGUGAUGACUGUAGGUCAUGAAUAAGCACCGGCUAAUUACGUGCCAGCAGCCGCGGUAACACGUAAGGUGCGAGCGUUGUUCGGAAUCAUUGGGCGUAAAGGGCAUGUAGGCGGUCUGUCAAGCCAGGCGUGAAAGCCAGGGGCUCAACCCCUGAACUGCGCUUGGAACUGGCGGACUGGAGUCGCUGAGGG